AUUGAACGCUGGCGGCAGGCCUAACACAUGCAAGUCGAACGAGUGGCGGACGGGUGAGUAAUGUCUGGGAAACUGCCUGAUGGAGGUGGAUAACUACUGGAAACGGUAGCUAAUACCGCAUACCAUCAGAUGUGCCCAGAUGGGAUUAGCUUGUUGGUGGGGUAACGGCUCACCAAGGCGACGAUCCCUAGCUGGUCGGAGAGGAUGACCAGCCACACUGGAACUGAGACACGGUCCAGACUCCAACGGGAGGCAUCAGUGGGGAAUAUUGCACAGUGGGCGCAAGCCUGACUCGACCAAGCCGCGUGUAUGAAGGAGGCCUUCGGGUUGUAAAGUACUUUCAGCGGGGAGGUGUUACCCGCAGAAGAAGCACCGGCUAACUCCGUGCCAGCAGCCGCGGUAAUAC
rnacentral:rRNA from 1 species